GUUGUCGUCGACGGAUCACGUAAAGUCCAGCGGUCCGUCCAGAGCUAACUUCUUUUUUUUUCCCAGUGGCGGAGAAAACGCGCGUACACACACCAGAAGAGCUCUCUCUCUCCCUUUUUAUCGCUUUUGCUUUCGUCAACGGUGGCCCCCGCACACACACACACACAAACUUCUCUUUCAGAUGCGGCGGCGGCGGCCGUAGAAGAAGAAAUCGACGGCCACAAGAAAACUGGGACGGACGGCCGGUCGACGGUUCAGGCAAGGGGAAGGCGAGCGGCCGCGGCGGCGUUACGACGUCAAGAAAAUUCCACGCACACAAGCGAAGCGCGCACGGCCCGGCGCUCCUCGCACACGCUCCGGCACAGGCGGCAGCUGCUCCCGCGGGCUUGGAAUGCGAAGUAUGGCACAAAGAAUCCCCAAAACGCGGACGGCGGCGGGCGCCCCUAGUGCGCAGCGGCGCACGCGCAUGGGUGGGGCGUAACGCGUCACUUCCGCCGCUCCGCGUGACGUCACGGCAUCAGAUGCCGGUAGUUCUUGCAACGUUCCAGGCGUACAUUCGCGGCGUCGCUCGCAUUUCUGCUCCAGGAGGCCAAGAGCACCCGUCGCGACGGGAGAGGAGGCGCAGCGGGUUGCUCUGCCCAAUCAGGAAAAGAGAGAGAGACAGUAAAACAUAAACAAGAAAUGGCGGGAAAGAGAGCGACGCCGGCGCUGUGACCAGGGUGUGCAGACAGAAGCGGAGGACGGUGGAAAAACCGGCUGCGAAGCAAGCGACGGCCGCCGGCGCACGCAGCGCCGCGUGGGGUCGGUGAGCGCAGUUAGCGUUUUCAACUGGCGGGCUGGCUUUGCGGAGAAGCGGUGUGGAGGUCCGUUGAAAGUGCUCGGUUUUGGACUGCACUAUGUUCCGUUAGCUUUGCUCUUAAACGUUCAAGGUCACCGCAGAACACCAACAGGCGUGUAUUGUGGAAGGGCUAGCGCUUGAUUAUUCCAGGUGCCAGAUGACUUGGGAGACCUACACGCGCAAAUCUUCGGGCUGACCAGCAGAACGACUAGUCCACAAGCCGAUGACCACAGGUCCAGUCCAAAUUACGUCGACAAGUCAAAUGAAUCUGAUGAACUGCAACUAUUAUUGUUGUUACUAUUUUUUCAUCAUGCCAUCUUCGUAAUUUGACCUCUUUAGACAAGACUAGGCACUGCGACUUCUCUACCCUCGGUGUUUGCAAAUAUAUUCCAGUUGCUCUGGCGGCAAAUGUAAAGUGUCACACCAGAAGAAGAUAAAAUCAUUUGCUUCAGUGCGGCGAGCACAGAAGUCGCAGCUACGACAUAUUCGCCAUGAGCAGCUGGGAAAAUUUCGUGAGGUGGCUGCUUUUUACGAACGAUUUUCAAGCGAAUAAAGUGUAUCCGCACACUA